rnacentral:piRNA from 1 species
UACGCAAGCCACCUUGUGACCACCCAGC